AUACAAAGCAAAUAUAACAUUUUUUUAAGUAGUGAAAACAUGAUUUCUUUUACAAGUAAUAAUCUGAGAAGAUGAUUGUGCAGUCUCCAAAUAGGGUCAUGUGGUGACAGGGAAACAGUGGGUGCUAUUAAAAGCCUGACAUUUAUCAUUCACAGUGGUUAAAUUUAUCAUGGUAUUUGUGGCAUUUGCCAAUCUAAGUAUAGAGAAUGCCACAAAUACUACAGAACAGAUAAAUGCUGACUUGUGGGUGAUGUGAAGACUGGAUGCCAUUUUGGUAUAAGGGAAGACUUUGGCCUGUUUAGGAGACUGGUUGACAGAGUCCCCUGGGAGGCAGUCCUGAAGGGGAAAAGAAGGCUGGACACUCUUAAAGAAGGAAAUCUUAAUAGUGCAGGAACGGACCAUAUCAUAAGCUGGUGAGCUGUGGAGGGAGAGGAGAAGACUGAUGGGCAUCAGGAAAGCUGAAGACAUGUGGUGGUAUGACAACCCAAAGCAACUCUGCCACAAAUGGCGUCACUGAAUGGAAAGCAUCUGGAUAUGUAAGGAUGCAGCAUUUGGAGAAAGACAAAUGUAGAGAAGGCAAAGCAGUAGGUCUGAAAAAAAACCUUGAUGUAAUGCAUUCAUAUUGAAAUACUGAAGCACGACUUCUCAUAAAUACUUAUUAUUUUUCCACAAAAUAGAAGCAAAUGCUGCUUGCAGUUCCAGUACACAGAACUUCGUUCUUCUUAUUGAAUCUUUCUUCUUGCUAUUCUUGCUUUUUUUGCAGCACUCACUUUCUCAUCAUUAGCAUUUGGCCAUUAGUAAUAUAAAAAUGUCCUGGUAUAA
ensembl:lncRNA